GCCAGGAGCAGAAAUUUCUUUGAGAGCAAGAUUCCUGUGGCUACUGAUGGUGCUGUCAGGUAAGCAAGGCAGGUAUCCUAGUCCAGGUAACCAGAAACACAGCCGGGAUGGCAGUUUCCAGAAUGUGUCACAUAUGUGUAUAUCCCCACAGUGCAGGUAAGGUGGUUAGAUCCAGGCCCAAGCUCUUGUGUGUUCCUGCAAGCACUUUUGGAAACACCUUUGAUGCUGGAUGUCUGAGAUGACCAGAUGACGCCUGUGCCAGCAGAGGAAAUGAAUUGACUGUUGGUACUCACCCACCCCUCAGGGACAACAUCCGCUUCUCAUCACAUAGCUUCAGAUCCCGUUUUGUGAAUGAGGUUUGACUCAGACAACUAAGGGGACCUCUGGCACAUCCUUUAUGCCUGCUCUAAAGGGUACCAGGGCCGUAUGCCAUAUUUUACUUGGCACAGGACAGCUCCCUGACCUCAGGACUCACCGGUAGCCCUGGAGCACUUCUUCGUGUGUGUUUGUGUGUAUGUAUGUGUAUGUAUGUAUGGCUAUGUGAGCAGGUGCACGUGCACAUGGAGGCCUGAGGCUGACUUUGGGGCUCUUUGGUAAUUGCUUUCCAUCUCAUAUAUUCUCUUGCUUGAAGCCAGAGCUUGGUGAUUCAUUUAGUCUAUUGAGUCAGCUUGCUUUGGGGAUCCCCUCUGUUCCCAACACCCCCUCACCUUCCCAUGCUGGCAUUACAGGUGGGCCACUACACCUUCCCAGCAUUUAUAUGGGUGGUAGGGAAUCCAAGGUCCUUACACUUGAGCGGCAAGAACUUUCCCCACUGAAUUGUUUUCCCGGGUUCCUGGGGGGAAGCUUUUGACUCUGUUUAUUCCCAUGCAAAACUGCACCAGUCUGCUGAACACUGCUGCCUCCUCCAGGAGGAAGCAUACAGCUGAUCUCAGGGAAAGCGUGCUUUUGAAAUUUUAAGACACACCAAAAUCUGCAUACUCCACAGUGCAUUGGGAUAUAAUUUUAAGUGUGAUUUUCCUUCCUUGCCUAGCUGGGUCAUGAGAGCAGUGUUGUGACUGCCUUGUUUUUGACGGCAGACUUUAUACCUAGGAAACAUGAUCUGAAGGACAGUGAGCAUGCGCAUGUCCUCCACAGGUGCCCACACAGAUGUUUACCAGUCCAGGAGGAUGCACAGCAGAUGUGUGAGCGUCUGCAUUAACAAACCUGCCCUGCCCUCUGGUCCUUUCAUCUUCACUAUGGGUGACAUGAUGGCAUGCGCCAUCCCUGACUCCCUAUGGCUUCUCCAGGAAAGCUUCAGCCUUCUCUUUUUCUGCCAUGCCUCAGCAGUAAGUCCCAACCAGGAAAAUUCACACUCCCUGCCCCUCCUACCACGUUCUUCCAGACUCAUCUCCCGAGACAACGACAAUACAGGGUUCUUACCAAGGAGUUGUUACCAAGCUACACUGCGAGUAGGGCUGGGACCAGCUGGCAGAGGUGCCUUUGCUACCCUGGUACUGCUAGAAAGCAGCAGCCCUUUCUUCAGGUGGGUUUCAUCCGUCUGUCCCCUCCCACUUAUCUCCUUGCUACACCUGGCUGACUUCCUCCCAUUCUUCUGCCCUCCAGUAUUCUAAAUCUUGACUUUAUUUCUCCUCAUUCAUUUGUAUACUGUGAGACUAGAAGUGUUUAUUUGGGAAAAGGAUAGGUCAGUACGACUCCUUUGGGUUGGCAUUGAGCUAUGCUGCCCUUUCCUGAGGGCUAAUGAAUGACUAAGCAAACAACUCAACAAGGAUUUCUACUUGGCACCAAGACAGCUGUGUGGUGGCUGUGGACAGCUGCAUUCACCUUUGACAGUGUUCACUCACAGGCACAGUCUCUUCUGUACCUGCUUCAUGACGAAGUGCGUAAGUGUAACACCUGGAGUGCCCACAUCCAGGCAAGCUACCUCUUGUUCUCCCCGCAUCCCCUCCCUUGCCUUUUGCAGCAUUUCCUUCCCCUCCAGCCCACUGGAAAAUGUCAACUGGUUCUGCCUCACCCAAAGAUGACAUGAGCUAUAUGCAUCCCCAAGCAUCUUACUUGGCUUUGGCUCUCAGAUUCACUGGGGAGGAGGGAGGCAGAAAUCACCCCCCUCCCCGUCUCACCACCAAAGAGCACCUGCAUUCAUGAAAGUCUGUGCCAAAUCCCUACCUAGUCACACUGAUGAUGCCAUCUUGCACUGAUGGCCUUGUCCUGUACCUAUAGAAGGGCUGACUGUGUGUUAGCUAUGCCUUUCAACUUCCCAGUGUCUGGAUGUACGGGGCUUUGUUCAUCCUGGAGCACCCUCAAGGGCUAACUCAUUCCUAGUAGUAAUGAGAGGUUUGGUUCCAGGUUUUCAUCACAAGCAACCAAUCUAGAGGCCAUACCUUAGCCAUAUUCUACACCUAGAUCAGACUCUUAGCUGGCAACUGUCCACCUGCUAGGCUCACCACAGGACUGAGUAGCAAAUAACUGGGGACAGCCCCAUGCCUCCACACUAGCUGACCUAUGCCUCAUCUAGUCUCUUCUGAAGAAACUACAAUAAAGGGACCUGCAAACACUGUCCCCUUCCUCCUGCUUUCUGGUACUUCCUCAUAUGACCCUGUGGGGUGUUGUGUGAUCUCUCCUCUUCAGAACCGUGCACAUUUUUCUUACUGACAUCUGCAGAUCUCUUGGCUCUACUCUACCUGGAAAAGUGUCAAGUUUACAUUUGAGAACACUGGGUUCCUCUACUGCCUUCAGCACUGAUCUAUGCAGCAGCUGGCCUCGUCACAUCACCUCCAAACUCCAAUGGCAGGAGGGAACUGGGCUCCCUGCUCCUGAGCCCCUCCAGUUCAAAGGCUCAGACCCAGUCACAGAGUCCUUCAAGGCCCUCUUGAGCCUCACGGAGGUCACUUCCAAAACACCUCUCCACUCAAACCGUCAGGUGAGUCUGCUGUGCCUCACUGCACACAACCCAAAGCGUAGUGACUGCCUCUGCCCAACAGGGUAAGAGGACAGAUCUUAGCGCAUGUGUGUGCUGGGUAGUUUUAUGUCAACUAGACACAAGCUAAGUCUUCUGAGAAGAAAAUGUCUCCACAAGAUCAGGCUGUAGGAGAGCCAGUAAGUAGCAGUCCUGCCGCUAUGAUCUUGUCCUGUUUGAGUUCCUGUCCUGACUUCCGUCAGUGAUAAAGAGUGACAUGGAAGUGUUAGCCAAAUAAACCCUGUCCUCCCCAAGUUGCUUUGGUCAUGGUGUUUCGUCACAGCUACAGAAACUCUGACCAGGAAAUCAUCAGUACCAGAAUAGUGGAGUGUUGGUGUGACAGACCUGACCAAGUAUUUUGGGAUGACCACAGAAGGAUUUUGGAACUUGGGGCCAGAAGAGCCAUUGGGUAUUCUAAGUUUCAUGAGCUGUGGAAGCUUGGAAGAUAAACAUGUUGUGAGCAGUGCAGACAAUGGAGACCUGGCUUGUGAAGUUUCAGAGGAAGGCAAAGACUCUAACAGGAAAUUUGUGUGAAGAAUUUGUGAUGUCUGACCAGCUGGUGCUGAAGAAUCAGUGGAAUUAAGAACCGUGGGAUGGAAAAAAGUAUCUGUGUUCAACCAAGACCCACUAAAUGGAACAGACCACGAUCCCUCUUGUCCACAAGAACCCAUUCUCGGAAUUGGACCAUUUGUGUAAAAAGAAAGAGUCUGCUCAACAGCUUGGCCUUGUGGCUGGUUACAGUAACUUAUCUGCUGGCUGUCCAGAGACCACGGCAGGGCAGGAGGUCAAAGGCAGUAGGCAGGGGACAGAUGAAAAGGAAAGUGGAUAAAUCACACUUGGCUACGAGGAUAUCAUCAGUCCUAAGGAGCACAGGGCACUGUGCCAGCCAGCAUCUACACCACUCGCUGCAGAAGAAAUAUAAUCCUGUCAGCAAAUUCUGCUCCUUCCUGGCCACAAAUAGUCAUCAUCAUAGCGGCUGGCAAACAGGAGAAACCUGCUCUUACUGGAUAGAGCUUAUAGGGAACGUUUUGUCAUUUAAUUAGGAAAAGAGGAUGGCAGGACCCUCCUGGGCUAUUCGCUGUGAUGCUAUCCCUCUCUAUGUUACAGCCUAAGUGACACUUCUUAGCAUGGCUGGGUGUGACACUUCUGCUCUCCAAAAUAAUAAAGAAAUGUCUUUUUCUGAA